rnacentral:rRNA from 1 species
GCUUGGCUAUAAACAUAGGUAGAACCAACACAAAUCUACCCGCCAGAGAACUACAAGCGAAAAGCUGCAAACUCCAAGGACUUGGCGGUGCUCCACACCAACCUAGAGGAGCCUGUCCUGUAAUCGAUAUUCCACGCUAAACCUUACCACUUCUAGCCAAUCAGCCUAUAUACCGCCGUCGCCAGCCUACCCUAUGAAGGCAGAACAGUAAGCAAAAUAGUUAACAACUAAUACGUCAGGUCAAGGUGUAGCACAUGAUAUGGUAGAGAUGGGCUACAUUUUCUGACACAGAAAACACGGAAGCCAUAGUGAAACCUAUGCCCAAAGGCGGAUUUAGCAGUAAGGCGUGCAAGAAAGAACACCUUAAACCUGCUCUGGAGCGCGC